rnacentral:misc_RNA from 1 species
GAAAUGCGAUACGUAGUGUGAAUUGCAGAAUUCAGUGAAUCAUCGAAUCUUUGAACGCACAUUGCGCCCUUUGGUAUUCCAAAGGGCAUGCCUGUUCGAGCGUCAUUUGUACCCUCAAGCUUUGCUUGGUGUUGGGCGUUUUUUGUCUUUGGCUCGCCCAAAGACUCGCCUUAAAACGAUUGGCAGCCGGCCUACUGGUUUCGCAGCGCAGCACAUUUUUGCGCUUGCAAUCAGCAAAAGAGGACGGCAAUCCAUCAAGACUCCUUCUCACGUUUGACCUCGGAUCAGGUAGGGAUACCUGCUGAACUUAAGC